rnacentral:lncRNA from 1 species
UAAUCAAAAAUAAAAUUUACUUGAUACUACUAAUUUCAUUGGAGUAGGCUACUGUACUAUUAGGAGAACAGCAGUUCUUAUGCUCCUAACUUUCUAAAAUGAAAGAGAGAAAAAAAAUUGAAGAGAAAUUGAGACAUCUAAUUUCUUCCCAAUUUUUUUCUCUCUCUCACUUUAAUAACCAAUUAAUUGAUAGAUGGCUAAAAAGUUAAGAGCACAAAGACGGUUGUGCUUCUAAUAGCAUAGCAACCCUACUAGACUUACUGUAUCACGUAGAAGAUAAAAUAUAUAUAAAGAAUAUUGAUAAAAUAAUAAUUUCAUUUAUCUAUUGCUUUAAUGGGUUUUAUUCUAUUAACUACAUUUGCAUUUCAUUAAUUUUAUUUUGGUUUAGAGAUAAGGUGGUGCUUUAAUUUUUUUUUUAUAAUAACAGUUAUAUCACAUCAAAUAUAUUCUAAAUAAAUUCUUAUUACAUCACGUAAGAUAGUAUAACAUAUCAGUCCCUAGCGCAAGUGGUAAAGAACUUGAUGGUUGAUACUUGAGAUCUCAAGUUCUAAUUCAUAUUUCCAGCUAAAUUUAUUUUUAAAUGAAAUAAACGAAACAGAUAGCAUGCUAUAUAUCACUCAAAAUAAUAAUAAUAAUAACAUCUAAUUAGAUAUAAUAAGAUAAUUCAUAAUAAAAUAAUAUUU